rnacentral:rRNA from 1 species
AGAAAUCUCGAGUUUAUGGACUUCAGGGGGAGUAUGGUCACAAGGCUGAAACUUAAAGGAAUUGACGGAAGGGCACACCAGGAGUGGAGCCUGCGGCUUAAUUUGACUCAACACGGGAAAACUUACCAAGACCGAACAGUAGAAGGAAUGACAGAUUAAGAGUUCUUUCAUGAUUUAUUGGGUAGUGGUGCAUGGCCGUUCUUAGUUGGUGGAGUGAUUUGUCAGGUUAAUUCCGGUAACGAACGAGACUGAAACCUAUUAAUUAGUUUCCUGCCUAUACGACAGGAAUCUCCGCAAGGUCAGGUGCCUCGGUACCACUUCUUAAAGGGACACAUUUCAAUUGUCUCAUUUUAAUCGAUGUCUCUGGCUCCGGUCAGAACUCUUUUAACGUGAGAAAAAGAAAAAGGAAGCAUUCAGCAAUAACAGGUCUGUGAUGCCCUUAGACAUCUUGGGCCGCACGCGCGCUACAAUGGAGUUACUAGAGAGUAUUUUAU